AUACAUGGCAGAGCUGGCACUGGAACUCAGGCAUGACCUACCCCAGAGUCAGCACUGUCCACAGCAUCUCUGCGGGGCACGGCCUGAGCCCCAGUGCAAGGCAGUAACCUCCCUUUUCUGUUUCAGGCCCUGAAGCGCCAGAGCUCGUUGGGCCUUUCCUUCUUUAACAGCAUCUUGGCCCAUGGGGACCUACGCAACAACAAGCUCAACCAGCUCUCCGUCAACCUGUGGCACCUGGCACAGAGGCACGGCUGUGCAGACACCAGGACCAUGGUGAAAACGCUAGAAUACAUCAAGAAGCAAAGCAAACAACCAGACAUGACUCAUCUGACGGAGCUGGCCCUCAGACUCCCUCUGCAAACAAGGACCUGACCCCCGGGCCCAUCCCCAGGCUCAGGGACUCUGGUGCCAAAUCCAGAAAGAUCUGCUCUGCUGCCCUGAACUCUUACGGCAAUUUAGGUUUCUCAUUUUUCUUUUCUUUUUACAUAUGUACAAAUUGUUUUAAGCUUUGGCCUCUAUCCAGGUUAUUCUGACAAUGAAGAAAUGGGAGUUGUCAGAGCAUUAAAAUGCAAUCUUCACUAAGAAGCAGUCUCUGUGUUGUCUUUGCACAAGUGGCCUUCGGUCUACUCAGCCCGAUCUGAUGGGCCUUUUUAGCAAGAGAGAAACAAGAAUGCAAGUAACAUCUUUCUUCUCUGGAAGGUGUUUGUUUUUUCAUAGUUUAGAAAUAAGGACUUUAAAAGUGGACUGCUUUUCAAAGUGCCACUGUUCCAGACCCAUUCCAUUCCAGACUUUGUACCUUAAAGUUAGAGCACACCCAAAGUCUGGAACUGUGUUACCUGAACCCCUAUGGAGGAUUUAUAAAAGGCAGAAAUAGCACUCCAUUAACUCUUUUUCCUAUCAAAAGCAGCUCUUGAUUGGACUUAGAAUCUGUGUUGGUGGAUCAAAGGAGAAAGCGAGGUCAAAUUUGAGAUUCUCUGUGGCUUCAGUAUACAGUAACUGAAUAAAUGUCCUGAAGG
rnacentral:lncRNA from 10 species